UCACCAGCCUUGGCUUCGGCGUGCGGGGUUUCCCGGUGUUUUCCCUCCCGGCGCUUACCGGGACGGCGCUGUUCAUCCCGCCCCUCGUGAACAGCCGGGCAGGGCCACAGGCCCGCUGUGUCCAAGUGCUUUAGAGUAAGGACUUGGGCUGGAAGUCAGAAAACCUGUGUGUUGUAGGAACCGUUUUCUGUUCUGGGAACGUUUAGGGUUACAGGUAAUUGACAAAAAUAAAAUAAUUCGUCACAAAUGUGCAGUACCCCCAGAUGAAAUUUAGAAGAUCAUCGGAGACCUCUGCAGUCUCUGCACAGUCUUCACAGCCAAGCUGAGCUCCCCUCACCUAAGGCACAGCCCCCAGAUCUGCCUAAAGAAAUUCUGCAAGAUUUGGAGCCCUGGUUUUCUGCGAGAAAAUUUUUCUUUUCCGGGCCAAAGUGAAUCCUGCACCUUUUUCGGUGUCGUUUCAUCUGGAGCCUGAGAACACAGUGACUUGCAGAAGCAACAAUCAAAGCUGGCUACGACUUGACUGCCCUGCCUUGGCAAGCACCUGGUCCAGUUCAUGUUUUGUUGCCAUCCUGGCAACAACCCAACCCAUGAUGGCUCUUUGUGUACUUUUUUUACUUGUUUUAUUGAGGAUUAAUUAGUGUUUGUGUAGUGACACAGCUGUCUGGUGCUCCAUGGACACAGCUGAAGGCGAAGGCCUUCGGGCUAUGCUGUGGUUUCCAAAUUCCUGUGUUAUGGCUACUGUAAUGCAUAUCCUCGAAGUGAAACAAACAUUUCUGACUGAUUUAUGACUUUUGACUGCCAGCUUUCAGUCUUGUGCUUAUAGGAAGAAGAGAAGAAGAUGGAGUAUCAAAACCAAGCUCUGUUACUUGAAGAAUUAUUUCAAGUCUCCUGUUGGUCACUUGAGGCUCUUGCACAUGCUCUGAAAUUCACCAGAAGAGGUCUUACGGUGCCUUAAUCUUUUAUACCUUGUAGAACACCAUCCUACAUUGUCUCUCCAUGUUCUUCUCACUGACUUUACCCUUCCAUGAAUCACAGGGCUCCUCAUCCCAGCCUACACGGCACUGCAGGCAUGCCAGGCUAUGUCAAACACAGGUCCCAGCCCAAGGUGCUUGUUUUCCCUCAGAUUACACAUUUCAUAACUCGCUUGUAAAGCACCUUGAAGAUACAACACUAGUGUUGCUAACACUAAAUGGUAUUGUUGGGCAGGUUUAACAUGAGCAAUUAAAUAGUAAUUCCAUAAAAAAGGUGCCAGACACUAAGGUAGGAUUAA